ACCCCCUCCCAUUUCCCCUGCCUCUCCUGUUGUUUCUGCACACCUGUACCUACCAGUCGUUACCCCUCCCCCAUUAAAGUGCACCCACGUGGGACCACCGCGUGUCUGUGUCUCCUUUCCCUGCGUAACGUCUUUACCCUCUAACCCCGCAGACGAGAAAGCCAGUCCAAAAAUAAGAACAACAAUUGGUGCCACUGUCAACUCGGUAACCUUUCCGUCCCAGUGCCUGAGGCUUUGCCUCUGGGCUUCACCGGCACAAGGUCUGAACCUACCGCCUGCGACCUCCUCCACCUGUUUGCCACGGCCAUCUAACACCGACUGAUUCGUGAGUUAACCUAAGUUGGCUUUCUUCCUCCGGAGCGUGCUCAGAGACUGUCCGGCCAGCUUUCUUUGCAUCUUAACAAUGACCCAGCUACUUGAAAAGCCAGACAGAUGCUAUUUCUUCAAUCAGCCACCCCAGACGCCAGCGGAUGGGACACCAGCCAACACCUCAAAUGCCGGCAGACAGGAUAUAACCAACAAAAUAUGGCCAGAACAAUCGGACACUCCCUGGAUCCCUCGACGCCCAAAGCCAGCAGGAAGCAGUCAUGAGAGACUGGGCUAUACCCCCAUUCCCUACCCUUUAAGGUCUCCCAUUUUUUUUUAAUCAAACCAAAAGGGUGAAAUGUUGUUCCUUUGCGAAACUACAGCUCCCAGCGUUCCCCUGGACUAUGGAUACCAGCACACGCAAGCGCAGGGCACAUUCCCAAAAGCCUUUGCAUUCCUCAUUAAAAGGUGAGGGUUGCCACAACCCCCUCCCUUUUCCCCUGCCUCUCCUGUUGUUUCUGCACAUCUGUACCUAUCUGCCGUUACCCCUCCCCCAUUAAAGUGCACCCACGUGGGA